GACCUCAAAUCAGGUAGGAUUACCCGCUGAACUUAAGCAUAUCAA
rnacentral:rRNA from 1 species